GUUGUGAGGUUAAGCGACUAAGCGUACACGGUGGAUGCCCUGGCAGUCAGAGGCGAUGAAGGACGUGCUAAUCUGCGAUAAGCGUCGGUAAGGUGAUAUGAACCGUUAUAACCGGCGAUUUCCGAAUGGGGAAACCCAGUGUGAUUCGUCACACUAUCAUUAACUGAAUCCAUAGGUUAAUGAGGCGAACCGGGGGAACUGAAACAUCUAAGUACCCCGAGGAAAAGAAAUCAACCGAGAUUCCCCCAGUAGCGGCGAGCGAACGGGGAGCAGCCCAGAGCCUGAAUCAGUGUGUGUGUUAGUGGAAGCGUCUGGAAAGGCGUGCGAUACAGGGUGACAGCCCCGUACACAAAAAUGCACAUACUGUGAGCUCGAUGAGUAGGGCGGGACACGUGGUAUCCUGUCUGAAUAUGGGGGGACCAUCCUCCAAGGCUAAAUACUCCUGACUGACCGAUAGUGAACCAGUACCGUGAGGGAAAGGCGAAAAGAACCCCGGCGAGGGGAGUGAAAAAGAACCUGAAACCGUGUACGUACAAGCAGUGGGAGCACGCUUAGGCGUGUGACUGCGUACCUUUUGUAUAAUGGGUCAGCGACUUAUAUUCUGUAGCAAGGUUAACCGAAUAGGGGAGCCGAAGGGAAACCGAGUCUUAACUGGGCGUUAAGUUGCAGGGUAUAGACCCGAAACCCGGUGAUCUAGCCAUGGGCAGGUUGAAGGUUGGGUAACACUAACUGGAGGACCGAACCGACUAAUGUUGAAAAAUUAGCGGAUGACUUGUGGCUGGGGGUGAAAGGCCAAUCAAACCGGGAGAUAGCUGGUUCUCCCCGAAAGCUAUUUAGGUAGCGCCUCGUGAAUUCAUCUCCGGGGGUAGAGCACUGUUUCGGCAAGGGGGUCAUCCCGACUUACCAACCCGAUGCAAACUGCGAAUACCGGAGAAUGUUAUUACGGGAGACACACGGCGGGUGCUAACGUCCGUCGUGAAGAGGGAAACAACCCAGACCGCCAGCUAAGGUCCCAAAGUCAUGGUUAAGUGGGAAACGAUGUGGGAAGGCCCAGACAGCCAGGAUGUUGGCUUAGAAGCAGCCAUCAUUUAAAGAAAGCGUAAUAGCUCACUGGUCGAGUCGGCCUGCGCGGAAGAUGUAACGGGGCUAAACCAUGCACCGAAGCUGCGGCAGCGACGCUUAUGCGUUGUUGGGUAGGGGAGCGUUCUGUAAGCCUGUGAAGGUGUGCUGUGAGGUAUGCUGGAGGUAUCAGAAGUGCGAAUGCUGACAUAAGUAACGAUAAAGCGGGUGAAAAGCCCGCUCGCCGGAAGACCAAGGGUUCCUGUCCAACGUUAAUCGGGGCAGGGUGAGUCGACCCCUAAGGCGAGGCCGAAAGGCGUAGUCGAUGGGAAACAGGUUAAUAUUCCUGUACUUGGUGUUACUGCGAAGGGGGGACGGAGAAGGCUAUGUUGGCCGGGCGACGGUUGUCCCGGUUUAAGCGUGUAGGCUGGUUUUCCAGGCAAAUCCGGAAAAUCAAGGCCGAGGCGUGAUGACGAGGCACUACGGUGCUGAAGCAACAAAUGCCCUGCUUCCAGGAAAAGCCUCUAAGCAUCAGGUAACAUCAAAUCGUACCCCAAACCGACACAGGUGGUCAGGUAGAGAAUACCAAGGCGCUUGAGAGAACUCGGGUGAAGGAACUAGGCAAAAUGGUGCCGUAACUUCGGGAGAAGGCACGCUGAUACGUAGGUGAAGCGACUUGCUCGUGGAGCUGAAAUCAGUCGAAGAUACCAGCUGGCUGCAACUGUUUAUUAAAAACACAGCACUGUGCAAACACGAAAGUGGACGUAUACGGUGUGACGCCUGCCCGGUGCCGGAAGGUUAAUUGAUGGGGUUAGCGCAAGCGAAGCUCUUGAUCGAAGCCCCGGUAAACGGCGGCCGUAACUAUAACGGUCCUAAGGUAGCGAAAUUCCUUGUCGGGUAAGUUCCGACCUGCACGAAUGGCGUAAUGAUGGCCAGGCUGUCUCCACCCGAGACUCAGUGAAAUUGAACUCGCUGUGAAGAUGCAGUGUACCCGCGGCAAGACGGAAAGACCCCGUGAACCUUUACUAUAGCUUGACACUGAACAUUGAGCCUUGAUGUGUAGGAUAGGUGGGAGGCUUUGAAGUGUGGACGCCAGUCUGCAUGGAGCCGACCUUGAAAUACCACCCUUUAAUGUUUGAUGUUCUAACGUGGACCCGUGAUCCGGGUUGCGGACAGUGUCUGGUGGGUAGUUUGACUGGGGCGGUCUCCUCCUAAAGAGUAACGGAGGAGCACGAAGGUUGGCUAAUCCUGGUCGGACAUCAGGAGGUUAGUGCAAUGGCAUAAGCCAGCUUGACUGCGAGCGUGACGGCGCGAGCAGGUGCGAAAGCAGGUCAUAGUGAUCCGGUGGUUCUGAAUGGAAGGGCCAUCGCUCAACGGAUAAAAGGUACUCCGGGGAUAACAGGCUGAUACCGCCCAAGAGUUCAUAUCGACGGCGGUGUUUGGCACCUCGAUGUCGGCUCAUCACAUCCUGGGGCUGAAGUAGGUCCCAAGGGUAUGGCUGUUCGCCAUUUAAAGUGGUACGCGAGCUGGGUUUAGAACGUCGUGAGACAGUUCGGUCCCUAUCUGCCGUGGGCGCUGGAGAACUGAGGGGGGCUGCUCCUAGUACGAGAGGACCGGAGUGGACGCAUCACUGGUGUUCGGGUUGUCAUGCCAAUGGCACUGCCCGGUAGCUAAAUGCGGAAGAGAUAAGUGCUGAAAGCAUCUAAGCACGAAACUUGCCCCGAGAUGAGUUCUCCCUGACCCUUUAAGGGUCCUGAAGGAACGUUGAAGACGACGACGUUGAUAGGCCGGGUGUGUAAGCGCAGCGAUGCGUUGAGCUAACCGGUACUAAUGAACCGUGAGGCUUAACCUUACAACGCCGAAG
rnacentral:rRNA from 2 species